UCUUCAUUUCACGUACUUUCUCAUCGAUCAGAGAGGCGAGAGAGUGUGUGGAAUGAAGAGC
rfam:Pristionchus pacificus strain PS312 contig853, whole genome shotgun sequence.